rnacentral:rRNA from 1 species
GACGAACGCUGGCGGCGUGCCUAAUACAUGCAAGUAGAACGCAGUUGCGAACGGGUGAGUAACGCGUAGGUAACUGCCUGGUAGCGGGGGAAAACUAUUGGAAACGAUAGCUAAUACCGCAUACUACCAGAUGGACCUGCGUUGUCUUAGCUAGUUGGUGGGGUAACGGCUCACCAAGGCAACGAGACAUAGCCGACCUGAGAGGUGGACCAGCCACACUGGAACUGAGACACGGUCCAGACUCCUACGGGAGGCAGCAGUGGGGAAUAUUGCACAAUGGGCGCAAGCCUUAUGCAGCCAUGCCGCGUGUGUGAAGAAGGCCUUCGGGUUGUAAAGCACUUUCAGUGGGGAGCGUUACCCGCAGAAGAAGCACCGGCUAACUCCGUGCCAGCAGCCGCGGUAAUUC